rnacentral:rRNA from 1 species
CCUACGGGUGGCUGCAGUGAGGAAUAUUGGUCAAUGGGCGCGAGCCUGAUCCAGCCAAGUAGCGUGAAGGAUGACUGCCCUACGGGUUGUAAACUUCUUUUAUAAAGGAGUAAAGUGAGGCAAGUGUCCCUUUUUUUAUGUACUUUAUUAAUAAGGAUCGGCUAACUCCGUGCCAGCAGCCGCGGUAAUACGGAGGAUCCGAGCGUUAUCCGGAUUUAUUUGGUUUAAAGGGAGCGUAGAUGGGUUGUUAAGUCAGUUGUGAAAGUUUGCGGCUCAACCGUACAAUUGCAUUUGAUACUGGCAGUCUUGAGUGCAGAUGAGGUAGGCGGAAUUCGUGGUGUAGCGGUGAAAUGCUUAGAUAUAACGAAGAACUCCGAUUGCGAAGGCAGCUUACUAGACUGCAACUGACAUUGAUGCUCGAAAGUGUGGGUAUCAAACAGGAUUAGAUACCCUGGUAGUC